CCCGAGUACAUCCUAUUUUGCCUCUCUUCACUGUUACCUCUUCAUCUCAUCACCAAGCCAGAAAGGUGAGAACAACUGCCAAGCUCAGACUCCAUUUCAAGUUAGACUAAAAUAUGUCUGUGUAACCGAAUUACCAUUUUAACCUGCCUGAAGAAAGAUGCUGCAUCUGUCCUUCUGCAACAGAAACUCUGGAGCAGAGAGGAGGCAAAGGCUGGAACUGCUGACACCAUUCAAAGCCUGUGAAAUAAAUCAGCAAAGUGGAAACAGAAGUCAGGUAAGAGCUUCUGAGAUGGGAGCUGCGACAACGGCAAGCUGUGCUCAGAGCUGUUCUUGCAAAUGCAAGCAAGUGACAAUUAUCAGAGUGCAAGGACACACUCCAGCUUCCAAACCAUCCCCAAGAUUGCCCUGCAUGGACAACUGAAUGUAUGCAUUGAAGUCUCGAUAAUUUCCUGCUUUUCAAGUAGAGAUGGCUGGACCUGUUACGACUGAUUUCUCUCAGGGUCUUGUUCUUUCCCACUAAUAAGUUCAAUUUUCCCCAUUGCCACAUCAACUGUGGUUUUAAAAAAUCCAUGUGAAAUUUCGUACACAUUUGAAGGCAUUUUUGCCUAACAUACACAAUGUUGCAAGGAAUUUCAUCUAUUAUAAUGCAUUGUUAAUCAAUCUAAAUAAUAAAAGAAGCAAUUAUUUAAUCAUA